ACUCAAAGGAAUUGACGGGGGCCCGCACAAGCGGUGGAGCAUGUGGUUUAAUUCGAUGCUACGCGAAGAACCUUACCUAGACUUGACAUCCCGGGCUAUCCUGGGAAACCAGGAGUUCUCUUCGGAGACUCGGAGACAGGUGCUGCAUGGCUGUCGUCAGCUCGUGUUGUGAGAUGUUGGGUUAAGUCCCGCAACGAGCGCAACCCGUAUUAUUAGUUACCAUCAUUAAGUUGGGCACUCUAAUAAGACCGCUUGGCUAUAAGCCAGAGGAAGGUGCGGAUGACGUCAAGUCCUCAUGGCCUUUAUGUCUAGGGCUACACACGUGCUACAAUGGGAGUUACAAACCGUUCCUAGCUCGCAAGAGCAUGGUAAUCGUAAAAAAGCUCUCUCAGUUCGGAUUGGAGUCUGCAACUCGACUCCAUGAAGCUGGAAUCGCUAGUAAUCGCGGAUCAGCACGCCGCGGUGAAUACGUUCCCGGGCCUUGUACACACCGCCCGU
rnacentral:rRNA from 1 species